UUAUACAUAGAUGUGGAUUUACACCACGGAAAUGGUGUCGAGACUGCAUUUUACCAAACAUCAGCUGUAUUUACGUACUCUAUACACAAAUACGAGAGUGGUUUUUAUCCGGGAACUGGUGGACAGGAGUCUGUGGGGGAAGGAAGAGGAUUGGGCUACUCCGUCAAUAUUCCUCUUAAAGACGGAGCAACUGAUGCGACACUUCAACGGGUGAUUGAAGGUACAUUAGACGCAGUAGUAGAGCGGUUUAAACCAGAUGCUAUAGUGUGCCAGUGUGGUGCUGACGGAGUUGCUGGAGAUCCUCACCAGGCAUUUAACUAUACACCGAGUGGAUUAUCUGCAGUAGUCUCAAGAGUAGUCUCAUACAACCGACCAACCCUUUUAUUGGGAGGGGGCGGGUACAAUCAUCCCAAUGUAGCCAGAACUUGGACCAAAAUUACAGCCGAUUUGUUAAAAGUUAACGUAUCCGAUGAAGAAGUCCCCGAGCAUAAACACUUCACAGAGUACGGCCCAGGGUUUGAAAUGAAGAUUAAACCUAGCAAUAAGAGGAACGAAAAUGACAGUCUGUAUCUAGACUCUGUAAUAAACUCUGUUAAUAAAAACUUGGAUUCGAUGAAAUGACGUUUUAAUUUUUUCAAUGUAUUUAUUUCAGUAUUGCUCAUGUUUAGUAUUAUGAUAUUUGUUGUAAGAUGUGUAUGUAAACACAGAUAUUCAUCGUUAAUAAA